AAAAAAAUGAAAAAAAAA
rnacentral:sRNA from 1 species